AUUGAACGCUGGCGGCAUGCCUUACACAUGCAAGUCGAACGGCAGCACGGGUGCUUGCACCUGGUGGCGAGUGGCGAACGGGUGAGUAAUACAUCGGAACGUACCUUAUCGUGGGGGAUAACGCAGCGAAAGCUGUGCUAAUACCGCAUACGCCCUGAGGGGGAAAGCGGGGGAUCGCAAGACCUCGCGCGAUUAGAGCGGCCGAUGCCUGAUUAGCUAGUUGGUGGGGUAAAAGCCCACCAAGGCGACGAUCAGUAGCUGGUCUGAGAGGACGAUCAGCCACACUGGGACUGAGACACGGCACAGACUCCUACGGGAGGCAGCAGUGGGGGAUUUUGGACAAUGGGGGCAACCCUGAUCCAGCAAUGCCGCGUGAGUGAAGAAGGCCUUCGGGUUGUAAAGCUCUUUUGUCAGGGAAGAAACACCGGCUCUAACACAGUCCGGGAAUGACGGUACCUGAAGAAUAAGCACCGGCUAACUACGUGCCAGCAGCCGCCGUAA
rnacentral:rRNA from 1 species